rnacentral:misc_RNA from 1 species
AAAUGGAUCAUUCACAAAACGACGUUUAGUCUUAUGGUAUCCUCCUGUAUUAAUCAAUUUAAAAGUCGCUGGUGAAAUCUCAAAAUUGAAAAAAAUGCUUUUGGUGGUGUCAUGAGUCAAACAAUUAAAAUGUUCUUGGUGGUGUCAUGAGUCAAACAAUUAUAAUGCUUUUGGUGGUGUUACGAGUUAAACAAUCAUAAUGCUUUUGGUGGUGGCACGAGUUAAACAAUCAUAAUGCUUUUGGUGGUGUCAUGAGUCAAACAAUUAUAAUGCUUUUGGUGGUGUCAUGAGUCAAACAAUUAUAAUGCUUUUGGUGGUGUCACGAGUUAAACAAUCAUAAUGCUUUUGGUGGUGUCACGAGUUAAACAAUCAUAAUGCUUUUGGUGGUGUCACGAGUUAAACAAUCAUAAUGCUUUUGGUGGUGUCACGAGUCAAACAAUCAUAAUGCUUUUGGUGGUGUCACGAGUCAAACAAUUAUAAUGCUUUUGGUGGUGUCACGAGUCAAACAAUCAUAAUGCUUUUGGGUUCACGAGUCAAACAAUCAUAAUGCUUUUGGUGGUGUCACGAGUCAAACAAUCAUAAUGCUUUUGGUGGUGUCACGAGUCAAACAAUUAUAAUGCAUUUGGUUCUGUUUUGUGAAUAGAGUAGAUGAUACUGGAUAAGUUCUGGUCCGAAGGUAAUGGGUUAUUAUUCCAACACAUCCCAGAACCAUCAUUAGACUAGAUCUUCCACAGGGAUAGGAUACUUUAGUAUUCUAUGGUGUGGGCCUGCCUUGCCGUGGAUCCUGUGGCUGUACCUUUUGGUGGGUACCUAAGUGGUCCUCCGCCUUGAUGGCGUCUUAUGGUUAAUGUAAUGAGUCAAACAGAUGUAAUGAAUUUGGUUUUCUUCAUGAAUAAUCUUGAGAUAAUUUCAUUUACGCCUUUCAGCGAUGGAUGUCUCGGAUCUCGUAACGAUGAAGAACGCAGCUAGCUGCGAGAUGCAGUGUGACAUGCGAACUUCUGUGAAUCAUUAGAUUUUUGAACGCAAAAGGUACUUUUAAAUUUACUUUAGAAGUAUGUUCAAUUCAGUGCUUUAAUAUUUUUGUUGUCCUAAUUGGUGGUCAACGUGGAUAGUUGUUGCAUUUGCGACGGCUGAAAGACAAGUGGCUACGUUUUUUAGGUGAACCUUUACAAACUAUGUCCAACUUAUAUCAUUAAGCCUGAAUUUGAGCAAGGGUACCCGCUGAACUUAAGCAUAUUAUUAAGCGGAGGAAGAGAAACUAACUAGGAUUUCCUUAGUAACGGCGAGUGAACAGGAAACAGCUCAAACUGAAAAUCAACAGGCAACUGUUGAAUUGUAGUCUCAUGAAAGGCAGCCCGUGAAUGUCCUGAGUUAAGUCUCUUGGAAAAGAGCACCAAAGAGGGUGAAAGUCCCGUCUGUACUCAGAGAUAUUUACUUUCGGUGCAUUUUCAAAGAGUCGUGUUCCUUGAGAUUGGAGCGCUAAGUGGGUGAUAAAUUUCAUCUAAAGCUAAAUAUUAACGAGAUUCCGAUAGUGAACAAGUACCGUGAGGGAGCGAUGAAAAGAACUUUGAAAAGAGAGUUAAAAGGUACUGAAAUUGCUGAAAAGGAAGUGGAGAGUUUCGACGGUCUGGCUAAGUUUCUCAUGUGCUACGGGGAACUUCCCCACCAGUAUGUGGUAGAGAUUUGCAGUGACUCUGGAAGUGGUUUUUUAGCUUGAUAACAUUAUCGAUAGGGCUCUAAGGGCAACAUCUUUAAUGUCUUCAGGUUGAAUAAUCUAUGUAGUUCUAGUCCAACAUACUCUGUCGGACUAUGAUCUUCCAGUAAUGUUGAUUCUCUCCUUCCCGUCUUGAAUCACGGACCAAGGAGUCUAUUUCAUGUGCGAGUACAAGGGUUGAAAACCUACGUGCAAAAUGAAAGUAAUAGUCAGGAUGGUUUACCCCUGCACUGACAUUCGGUUACAUACCGAAGUAGAGCACAUAGAAUAGGACCCGAAAGAUGGUGAACUAUGCCUGAGUAGGGUGAAGCUAGAGGAAACUCUGGUGGAAGCUCGUAGCGAUACUGACGUGCAAAUCGUUCGUCAAACUUUGGUAUAGGGGCGAAAGACCAAUCGAACCAUCUAGUAGCUGGUUCCCUC